CUAUACUAGUCAAGGUUCUUGGUCCAGAUAACAUAAGCUAACUAUGGCUACCUUAAGCAGGAAAGAAAUUCACUAGAAUAGUAUACAGUCAAUAGGAAGCCCAAGAUCAAAACCCAGCCAGGAACCAAGAGUGACUGGGUAUCCAAAUACCAUCAAGAUCAUGCCACCAAAAUAAGACCACCAUCACCGACACCACUACCAUUGGCUACUUGCUGUUGCUACUUUUGGUGUCACUGGCAAAUAAUGCCCAUUCCUCUGCAUCCGUUCUUUCAACUCCUUCACCACUGCACAAACAAAGAACUCCCACCUUCUGUAUCUUCACAGUACUCCACCGAUAUUCAAAAUCCUGUAUAGUAGCAGCUGAGUCACUGAUUGUAGAUCACAUGCUAAUAUCUUUAGUAGAGAACAUGGGGACCUGUUUCCCUUGGUUUCCAUAGUGGAAGGUGGAGCCUUGUCUCCUACAUAUCUUGGAUCCCCUCACAUAGGAAGAGUUUGGUUACUAGGUGGUUUCAUUCCACUCCCCUCAGAAAAAGUCUACUAUGGUCUUUAAACUGAAAACAUUUAGAACAAACAGCAACAAGACAAUUAAAGCCUAAGAAUACAUCUAACAUACGAAACAUGUUAAUCAAAUGUUGAUGUUACCAGUAAGGCUUCUGGAAAACGGGAAGCCAUGAAGACAAAUUAAGUGGUUUGAACUUCUUGACUCAAAAUAUUAAGUGCUUGGGUGUUGAAUGGUUCAGGUUCUUCCUUGGAAAUAGAUGGCCAGUCUCUUGCCUGUUCUUCCCACACAUGGUGAGCUCAUAAGGUGAGCUAACCAUUAAAGGACUUCCUUCUGAUUGCAAUGAUUGGUUCUCUUGGUCUAAGCCAAGUCUAUCAGAGUCAUCCUUGGGACUUUUGAAGGAGCUAGCAAGGAAGACACGAAGGAAAAAUAAUGUAAUAGCUAUUGCUUCCAGAGGCCAUCUUUGCUACCAGGUGGGGAGAGCCUACCUGGCUAGGAAGCUAACUCCAAGGCAAACAAGUCAACGAUGGGAAGACAAAACUAAUGACAUUAUUUAAACCUCGAAACCCAGUCUGAUCUGAAGAAUUAUAUUUAGGACUUCCUGGUACAUGAAUCAACAAAUCUCUUCUUUUUGCCUUUUAAGUUGACAAAAUCAUGACAAAUAUACAAGAGCUGAUUCCACGACAUCCCACAUUUGGUCAAGCAGGUAAACUGAAAUAAAGAAUGAGAAUCUAGCAUCCAUUUAAUCCUUUCU